rnacentral:rRNA from 1 species
GACGAACGCUGGCGGCGUGCCUAACACAUGCAAGUCGAACGAAGAGCGAUGGAAGCUUGCUUCUAUCAAUCUUAGUGGCGAACGGGUGAGUAACGCGUAAUCAACCUGCCCUUCAGAGGGGGACAACAGUUGGAAACGACUGCUAAUACCGCAUACGAUCUAAUCUCGGCAUCGAGGAAAGAUGAAAGGUGGCCUCUAUUUAUAAGCUAUCACUGAAGGAGGGGAUUGCGUCUGAUUAGCUAGUUGGAGGGGUAACGGCCCACCAAGGCGAUGAUCAGUAGCCGGUCUGAGAGGAUGAACGGCCACAUUGGGACUGAGACACGGCCCAGACUCCUACGGGAGGCAGCAGUGGGGAAUCUUCCGCAAUGGACGAAAGUCUGACGGAGCAACGCCGCGUGAGUGAUGACGGCCUUCGGGUUGUAAAGCUCUGUUAAUCGGGACGAAAGGCCUUCUUGCGAACAGUUAGAAGGAUUGACGGUACCGGAAUAGAAAGCCACGGCUAACUACGUG